rfam:Ailuropoda melanoleuca scaffold317_48, whole genome shotgun sequence.
GCCUGGCUGGCUCAGUCGGUGGAACGUGAGACUCUUGAUCUCGGGGUCGUGAGUUCAAGCCCCACGUUGGGUG